rnacentral:lncRNA from 1 species
CAAGUAGCUGGCACUGCAGACACGCACCACCACACCCAGGCUACACAGAACAACAUCAUUAGCAACAUUGUUUCAGCAAGGAAAUAAUCCUUAUUGGCAAAGGGAAACCAAGGAAAGAAAACUAUUGUUUUCUUCGGCUACAUGCUGUCUGCAAAGCACCCCAUGGAUUCAAUUUCUCAUCAAUUCAGAAUGGAAUACUAACGUGCUGCCUAGAGAUACAGAAGUGGGAUGAACGCAGGGCCUUACUCAGCAUUCAGAACAAAACUGAUGGUGCUAGCAUAUAUAAGACUGAAACACCAAAGUCCUCCGUGGAAGUUAAUGAAUUUCUAAUAGUGAAAUAAGGUGGCCAAGGAGGCAGAGAUGGAGUCAGGGACUCUGUGAUCAACCCUGAGGAUUGGGAAGGAACUAUACAUACCAGGAGGCAAGGAGCACUGGGGGCCCUCCUGGAACUGCCUGUCACAGCGUCCUCAAAGGUUUUCACUCUCCUAGGAUGACCCAGGUAUAGAAUCUGCCCCUAUGGUUCGGCUCCACCCUCUCACCUGUCUCUUGAGAGCAUUGUGAAAUUCUGAGACACAGCAAGGACAGAAACAGAGGGCAUGGAAGAUGCUUUCAGCAGUAUGAUGGUACUUCCAGUACCCCAGUGACACCUAGCCUGAGAAAGAAGCAGAGAUAAAGUCUAUAGAGGAAGAGAGCAUCUGAAUGACGUUUGAGUCCCUGGAUCCACUGUGUGAAGCCAGAGCCACUCCUGCAAGUGUUUUGUUUAGGUUUAAAUUUGAUUGAGAUUUUUAUUACUUCAAAGUAAAAAAUUCUUACUAAUGCAAUGCCUUCAGCCUUCCACCUCAAAGUCAC